AACAUAUUUUUUGGAUAAAAUUAUUUAUAGAUAGUAUUUGCACAUAUUUAACAAAUUCAUACUUAGUUGUUAUUUCUAUUUUGUGAAACUCAAAAUGUUAGCUUAAAUGUUCAAUUAUAAUCAACAUAAUUAUGGGAAUUUAAAAACUAGAACAAAGUAUUGUCACUUUUGAACAUUUUAUUAAGUAGGCACUGUACUGCAACAUUAUUUUAAAAUAAAGGUUAGAUAUUAACCAGGAAUGUGGAUAUUGCUAUUAUUUCACAAAAAUCUUGCAUGUGACUACUACAGUGAUAGUUUGAGAGAAGACUACCAGGGAAUUUAAUCUUGUGGAACAUAACAAACAUUCAUAUUGAAGACUUGUGCAUACAAUUAUUAUAACAAAACCUAAAAUGUCCAAUCAAUCUGUGAGAUAUAUUUUAUGGAUAAAAUAAUUUUUAGAUAGUAUUUACACAUAGUUGUAAGUAACAUAUUUCUGAAUGUUAUAACUAAACCUAAUUUUACAUAUUUAGUUGUAAAUAUUUAAUAUUAAGCCAUUGAAAUCGUGAAGACAAAUAUUUGUAAUAUUUAUAAGUAUUUUUAAUUUAAUAUCAUAAAGUUUAUUUUUUUUUUUACUCAACCUAGUUAGACAGCCAAAAGUAAGUGUCAAAUAAAACUAUUAGGUCCAAUAUUGUAAGAUGUUUUAAUUUAAAGAUAAUAAUUUUAGCUUAAUAUUCAAAUGUAAUUUUAAUUUUCAAUUAAUUCUACAUUUCAUUUGAAGUUGUAAAUUUUUUCAUAGAAGUAAUAAUUAUAUUUAAACUGUGCAUUAAUUUAAGAAUCUACAUUAAAACAUUAUUAAUAUUUUCAAUAAUUAAUACAGACCGUAAACAACUUUAUCUAUAGCUAUUGAAAUUGAAGUAGUGUGUCAUAUUAAAUUGUAAUUUGAAACUGCACCGUAAGCAAUAAGGUUUAUAUUAUAGUAUUAAUGUGGCCACUCUUCGAUAUUUGGUAGUUAUAGGUUAGGUUAGUUACAUUAAAGACAAGAGUUAUAUUCAGUGGUCGGGACGCUACUAGUUUUUUGUCACACGCUAAUGCUACGGCUAGUCCCCGAAAAAAAGUAGCUUGCACUUUAAAAUUUUCCAAUUGAAAAUUGAUAGUUUAUAGUUUGUACUGAUUUAAUAUUUGGUCACUAGACGGGUUUUAACUACGCAAGUUAAUCGUGGAUUAAACCCGAAAAAGGCAUUAAUAUACUCAUCAUUAUUAUAAUGUAAAUAAAUAAAUAUUAUAGUUGUUUUAACUAUCACCAAAUAAGUAUUGAAGGUAGCGAAAAAAUAAUGGUCAUUUUCGCUAUGCUAACUAAAAAUUACUAGCGCACUAAAGUAUAUCGCUACAAUGAGCGUGCUACUCCCGACCACUGGUUAUAUUAAACAAAUGUAUAUUUUCAUUAAAUAAAAUAUAAUUACAUUUAAUAAUUAAAAUGGUCAUUUACUUAUAUUUUAAUAAAUGUUCAAAAUAUUUAAAAAUAUUUACCCUUAAGCAUAUUUCCAUUUGCUUUAAAACUUCUUGGUGGGUUACUUUAAAUAACAUUUCCUUAGAGAUUGAUUCACAUGCCUCUACUAUUUUGUUUUGAAGUUCAUCUACAGUUAUAUAGACAACUUUUUUACUACAAUUUUCAUUGAUUGCUGUGAAUAACUAUGAGCUUAGCCAUGAAAUAAUCAUAAAAAAAAAAUAACUAAAAAAAGUGUUAAUAAAUGUUUUAAUAAUUAUAAAAUUUGAUUACUAACCUAAUAUGAUACAUAAUGGUGUAUGUGGAUUCUUAUAUAAAUGUACAAGAAUCAUAACAGUAUUUUUUAAAUUUAUUACUCGCUUACAUCUUACAUUUUUUUUUAUUGAAAAAAAACUAAAUGUAUUUGUAUCCUUGCAAAUGACUGUGUAUGUAUGGUUGUCAUCAUAAAGUUCAGUAUAUAACUUAACUGAUGUUGUAGCAUUAUUAUUAAACUGUAUGUAACAUUUAAACAUAUCCAUUUUUUCAACAUUAUAAUAUGACAUGAUUUAAAUUUAAUUAAAAACAAAAAUGCUUAAACGCUUAUGAUAUUACUGAUAUUAUUGCUCAUAGAAAAAAAAAGUAUUUUGUAAUAAAAUUGCUAGAUGCAAUACAAUGUAAUCAAAGUGUAUGAUAUUAAUUGGUAAUUUAUAUUUCCCCAAAAUGAAAAUAUAUUUGUUUUGUUUAGCAUGUA